rnacentral:rRNA from 1 species
GAUGAACGCUGGCGGCGUGCCUAAUACAUGCAAGUCGAGCGAACGGACGAGAAGCUUGCUUUUCUGAUGUUAGCGGCGGACGGGUGAGUAACACGUGGAUAACCUACCUAUAAGACUGGGAUAACUUCGGGAAACCGGAGCUAAUACCGGAUAAUAUUUUGAACCGCAUGGUUCAAAAGUGAAAGACGGUCUUGCUGUCACUUAUAGAUGGAUCCGCGCUGCAUGAGCUAGUUGGUAAGGUAACGGCUUACCAAGGCAACGAUGCAUAGCCGACCUGAGAGGGUGAUCGGCCACACUGGAACUGAGACACGGUCCAGACUCCUACGGGAGGCAGCAGUAGGGAAUCUUCCGCAAUGGGCGAAAGCCUGACGGAGCAACGCCGCGUGAGUGAUGAAGGUCUUCGGAUCGUAAAACUCUGUUAUUAGGGAAGAACAUAUGUGUAAGUAACUGUGCACAUCUUGACGGUACCUAAUCAGAAAGCCACGGCUAACUACGUG